AAAGUUGCACUUAAUUUUUCAUGCACUUGUCAGUUUUGAGAUUUUGUGCUGUUGGGGUUUUUAUAACAUGUUUCCUAAUACAUUUGACUAGUGGAGAGAAAACAUUGAAAACACACAUUUAAGUGUUUAUUUCAUUACACUUUCUCUGUUUGCGUCUGUUGAUUUCAAUCUCUAGAGUUUUUUCUUUUACAAACACCAAACUUUACACUUUUAUUCCUCUCUAUAUUCUAAAAGGUUUGUUCAUAUUUAAAUCACAGUGAUUCAUACAACAUUUUACAUACAACAUGGUGAAAAUGUUUUUGUUUGUCUGUUGACAGUAUUUUAUGAUUUAUGGUAGUGAUAAAAAGAAAAUCCAAAAAUCCCUCUGGAAAUUUGUUUUUUUAAUAUUUACAACUAAAUAUUUAAGCAUACUUAAACAGUCAAUUUCAGAAAACUUGUAACACAAAAGUUGUAAUUAAUCAUCUUGGAAGUAUAGUGGAAUCUAUUAGUUUUGUUAUCCUAUUCACCUCAGGUGUUCUGCCUUAAAAGUUAAAACACUACAUAUCUACCUUUAGUACGAAAUAUCACGGAAAUCACAUUUAUUGGCAUGAACACGAGCGCAUCAUCAGCCUCUACUCUUCACAGCUCCUGCUCUUUCAUAAGAGCCCGCCUCUCAGGUCAACGCUGUGAAGCGAUUGGCUCUCGGUCAGAAGCACACUGCUGUGAUUGGCUGAGCCGAGCUGUCCAUCGUAGCGCUCCACGCCGCUCUCUCGUGUUUCCACGUUAAAUGAAAACAAACACUUCCGAAAGCUAAACAUUAUCGUGCACAAGCGACACGGUGUAACGGAACCGGCUCCUGAAGGCAGGGAUCGGGCCCCGGGGCCGCUGCGGGGGACAGGGACACACGCCACACCACUGAAAGCCCCGGCGGCGGAGCGCAGCAGAACACCAGGCUCUUGGUGGGCGCUCCGGGUCUCUGUGUCUGAUGAGGAUGUCUGAGAGAGCUCUGGACGAGGACGAACACCAGCUCAACACGUCUCUGAACUGCAGCGGCGACACACAGCUGCAAACACCUGGACCGAGCGCUGAAAGACUCCAGGUACAGCGGCACGAGCUCCGUCUCCUCCCAGAGUUCAGUGCAGUGUGUCAUGAUGUGCUUCAGUUCUGCAUGCUGCUCAUUUAUCAUCGAGGAUCUGGCUGUGCUUCCUCGAUUACCCCAGGAUCAGCAGGAUUCAGGAGGACGAGGUGUGUAACAGCAUCCAGCAGAGACGGCAGAUCUUCGUGUCUGAUGACUUGCAGGUGUGUUGAAGCUGUUCCUCUAAAGCUGUCUGGUGUUCCUGGUGCAGGCUGAAGGACAGUCGGUCGGGGACAGCCUCCAAGCAGCUCAGAGAACGAGGCCCAGUCUUCAGAGCCGCGGCCGUGGAGCAGCUCCAGCCUCAACCUGAAGCAUCCCGGUCCUGACCGGCGGAGACCGCUCCAGCAGCAGCAGGAGCGCGGGACGCCUCUCAAACACAGGUGAGGGACGCACGGACUGAUUCAGUGAUGAUUGCUGACACUCUUCCUCUGCUUUUCCUCUCAGUCUGUCUCUGUGUGUAAUAACAGCAUGUUUUCUGUAGAGACUCAUUCUGUGUCUCACUGCAUGCCAUCAAACUCUCAGUCUCUUAUUAACACUGUUUGUUCAGUCCUCUGAACUCAUAGCUGAUCGUUUCUGCACUACUGUUCAAAAGGUUGGGCUUAAUAAGAUUUGUUCAUUUAGGGUGCAUUAAAAUCAUCUAAAUACAGUAAAAACUGAUAUAUUAUGAAAAAUUACUACUUUUUUUUGGAAAAUGUCAUACACUACAAUUUAAAAAUGUUGGCUCUGUAAAAAAAAAACACUGAAAUUCAACAAGUUUGCAUUAAUUUGAUCAAAAGUGACAGUAAAGACAUUUAUAAUGCUACAAAUGUUUUCCAUUUCAAAUAAAUACUGUUUUGAACUUUCUGUUCAUCUGUGAAUGUAUCACAGUUUGCACAAAAAUAUUGUGCAGCACAACUGUUUUCAACACUGAUAAUAAUCAGAAAUGUUUCUUGAGCAGUAAAUCAUCAUAUUAGAAUGAUUUCUGAAGAUCAUGUGACACUGAAGACUGGAGUAAUGAUGCUGAAAAUACAGCUGCGCAUCACAGAAAUACAUUACAGUUUAACAGAGAUUCACACAGAAAACAGCUGUUUUACAUUCUAAUAAUGUUUGUUCAGUCCUCUGAACUCAUAGCUGAUCGUUUCUGCACUACUGUUCAAAAGGUUGGGCUUAAUAAGAUUUGUUCAUUUAGGGUGCAUUAAAAUCAUCUAAAUACAGUAAAAACUGAUAUAUUAUGAAAAAAUUACUACUUUUUUUU
rnacentral:lncRNA from 1 species